rnacentral:misc_RNA from 1 species
CUGGAUUCUAUUUCUAUUCGAGCAACUGCAAGUAGUAGUAGUAGUGGUGGUGGCACUAAGGCUGUUACUACCCGGAGAAGAAAACCCAAGAAUGGUGGAACCAAUGGUGGGUCCGGCAAGAAUGCGAAAGUUAGUGAGAUUCCUGCAGUUUCAACAAAAGGGUCGUCGGGGAAAGUGGUAGACAAAGUACAGGUAAAGAGAAAAAAGCAGCAGGAAGAGUGUUUCCAGGAUGAUGGGCCGGUGAACGUGCGAGCACUGCAUCAGAAUGGUGACCCUUUGGGGCGUAAAGAUUUGGGUAAGUGUGUGGUUAGGUGGUUAUCUCAAGGAAUGAGAGCUAUGGCUUUGGAUUUCGUUACAGCAGAGAUGCAGGGAGAGUUUGCUGAGCUUAAGCAGAGAAUGGAACCAGGAUUGACUUUUGUUAUUCAAGCUCAGCCUUAUAUUAAUGCUGUCCCUAUGCCUCUUGGUCUUGAAGCUAUUUGCUUGAAGGCUUGCACCCAUUAUCCUACCCUUUUCGACAACUUCCAGCGUGAGCUCAGAGAGGUUCUUCAGGACUUUCAGAGCAAGUCAUCCGUCCAAGAUUGGCGUGAGACUGAGUCAUGGAAGCUGCUCAAGGAUCUCGCCAGUUCAGCUCAGCAUAAAGCCAUCGCAAGGAAGGAAUCUCAACCAAAAUCUGUUCCUGGUGUAAUGGGAAUGGACCUCGAGAAAGCAAAAGCCAUUCAGAGUAGGAUUGAUGAUUUCGCCAAUCGUAUGUCAGAUUUGCUGCAUAUCGAAAGGGAUGCUGAAUUGGAGUUCACUCAGGAAGAGUUGAAUGCUGUCCCUGCACCGGAUGUUACUUCUGAGGCUCAGAAGCCAUUAGAAUUCCUGGUUAGCCAUGCGCAGCCUGAGCAGGAACUCUGUGAUACUAUCUGCAAUCUGACAGCAGUUAGCACAUCUAUAGGAUUAGGUGGAAUGCAUUUAGUGUUGUUCAAAUUGGAGGGAAAUCACAGAUUGCCUCCAACUAACCUCUCACCUGGAGACAUGGUUUGUGUCAGAAUAUGUGAUAGUAGAGGCGCUGGCGCAACUUCUUGCAUGCAAGGAUUUGUGCAUAACCUAG